UAUAGUCCUGACAUUGACACUGUGUUAAUCCAAAACACUAGUACUUUCCAGUCUUGUAAACACUUCUUUUGGCUUCUCUCAUAGCCUGUCCGCACAUCAAUUUGGCACAGGUUUUGUGGAAAAUUUUGAGUGAAUGGUGAUGCAGAAUGUGGCGUUGGAAGGCCUGCCCUUUAGUUUUACUAAAAUGACAUCGAUGCCUCCAGAAAGUGUGUCUUGAAAGGACUCUGCAUAUACCUCAACGAAGAUCUUAAUGGUCUACUACAGGAGUACAUGGACAUGACUGAGGCCAACACCAAGAGCCAUUAAGAGAACAACAGUGGAGAUGUUGCCAAAGAGACUCCUACCAGUGACUGAUCGGAUAUUGGCGUAAUCCUUGGGUGUGGUGAUACUUGCUGUAAAGGUCUGGACAACGCGGCCCUCACAUCUGCCUUGCUGUUUGGACUUUUUUUUAUGCCUUUUAAACGUGAAGUACCUAACAAAACUUCACUACACCUUUUUGAAGCUAUUCAAAGUGGAGUUAGAUGAAGUGAAACUGUCAAAGAACGUUCAAAGCUUGGAAACUAAACUUCACUAAUGGGAGAGUCAGCAUUCAUGUUCCUGGAGCACUGUAGCUUUGAGACCAAGAACAUUUUGAGUAGGUUGGAUAACCUCUAGUUCUGCAUUUCUUGAUCCCUGAAUACUGUAGUUCUUUUAAAACCUAUGUAAGAUAUGUGAAGUUUUACAGAAGUAAUAACUGUUUAAUUUAAAAUUUUGAAAUAAUCAUAAAUUUGCUUUUGUACAGUUAAAAUUACAUUGCAGGUAUUUGCAUUUGAUAAAUCUUUGUAUUGGUGCCUUUUAAGGUGCCCUUGGUAUCUGUUCUACAGUAUGUGGUCAUGUGACAUUAUGCAUUAAAAAUGUAGAUAAAAAUAAAAUGCAUUGUUAAAACUGUA